GGCGAACCGAAUGCGGUCGUCGUGUCGUGGGAUCACCAGCCCAAUCUGGCGAAUCCGUUGGACGCAGGACAAAGGGGGAGGACUCCUCACACUCUUCUCCUGCUCCAGUGUGGUAUCUCUCCCAUGGGAAACAGUCCUCCGUGAACUUCUCCAAUGUGAGUCCUUCCUAUGGGCUGCAGUUCUUCACAAACUUCUCCAGCAUGGAUCCCUUCCAUGGGGUGCAGUCCUUCAGGAACAGACUGCUUCAGCAUGGGUCCCCCACAAGGUCACAAGUCUUGACAGCAAAUGUGUUUCAGUGUGGGCUCCUCUCUCCACAGGUCCACAGGUCCUGCCAGCAAACCUGCUGUCCAGCCUGGGCUCCUCUCUCCACAGGUCCGGCCAGGAGCCUACUCCAGUAUGAGCUUCCCACGGGUCACAGCCUCCUUAAGACAUCCACCUGCUCCAGUGUGGAGUCCUCCACAGGCUGCAGGUAGUUAUCUGCUCCACUGUUGACCUUCAUGGGCUGCAGUGGGACGGCUUGCCUCACCAUGGCCUUCACCACAGGCUGCAAGGUGAAAGGGAAUCUCUGCACCAGCACCUGGAGCACCUCCUCUCCCUCCUUCUUCACUGACCUUGUUGCCUGCAGAGUUGUUGCUCUCACAUAUUCUCACUCCUCUCUCUUCUGACUGCUGCUGGUGUUGUGCAGGUUUGGGGGGGGGGGGAUUCCCCCUCCUUCUUAAGUAUGUUAUCCCAGAGGUGCUACCACUGUCACUGAUUGGCUCAGCCUUGGCCAGUGGUGGGUCUGUCUUGGAGCUGGCUGACAUUGGCUCUAUUGGAUAUUGGGGAAGCUUCUAGCAGCUCCUCACAGAAGCCACUCCUGUAACCCCCUGCUACCAAAACCUUGCCACACAAACCAGAUACAACCAGUCCCUUAUGGAUUUGCACUUUGCACUGGGGACACACUAUCCAUCCCACUAACCAUGGGGGAAAAAUUGUGUGGCCCUGGAACUCAGCAGCCAGCCUACAAACAGGCCUUCUGAAAAAUGCAAUUUUAGCUGAAUUAGAAGGACCAGCACCUGUUGCCCUGGGUGCCAGACAACCUCCUCCCACAGAAAUGAAUCCCUGGGAGGCAGCUUGUGAGCCUUUAUACUUCUGACCUAUAAUAAAAGGAGCUGAAGGAAUGUUGAAAUCUUUAGCUUUAGCCAUUAAGACAGUCUUAAAUGGUUUUACUUUCCAAGAGGUCCUUUAACGUAUGCUAGUGAAUUUACCACUAACAAGCCAUGGGCAGGGACACCUUCCACUAGACCAGAUGUAUUGGGUCUGGCUGAGCCCCAUAGCAGCCACCAUCCAGGAGUCAGUAUAGAGAUGGAAUACUGGCCACUUCUUGUUCAGCAAUGUCUAGGGCUAGUUGGAUGGUGGCUAAUGCCCUAUGGGGGUGGCUACAACAGUGGAAGAAGACGAAUUGGCAGCACAGGGGUAAACCCAUCUGGGCUGCUGCAUUGUGGCAGGACAUUGCUGCCUGGGUAAAAAACAUGGCUCUAAAGGUAUGUCAAGAUUGUAUUGGGUCUGGCUGAUCCCAGUAGCAGCCCUCAUAGUGCUGUGCUUUGUAUUGGUAGCUAGAAAGGUGGUGAUAACACACCAGUGUUUUGGCUACUGCUGAGCAGUCCUCACACAGCAUCAAGGCUGUCUCCCCAACACCACCACCCUCCCCACCCCCCCAAAGGCCAGUAGGCUGGGGAUGGGCAAGAUCUUGGAAGGGGACAUAGUCAGGACAGCUGACCCAAAGUGACCAAUGAGACAUUCCAUACCAUAUGAUGUCUGCUCAGAUAUAAAAGCCAAGAGAAAGGGAGAGGAAGGUGGUGGUGGAGCAUUUGUUAUUUAUGAUAUUUGUCUUUCAGAGCAACUGCUACCUGUACUGAAGCUUCUUGGGAAGUGUCCAAACAUGGCCUGCUGAUGGGAAGUAGAGAAUAAGAUCUUUUGUUUUCCUUUGCUUCUGCAUGUGCAACUUAUUGCUAUUGCUUCAUUAAACUGCCUUUAUCUUGACUCACAA